CACUCCGCUUCCGGACAACGGCGGGGCGGGGCGGCGAGGCCUUUGAGCUGGGUGUCCGGGAUUGCGGGGAGGCGUGGCCUAAAUCUGCGUCUCAGAGGAACCAGAAGAACAGAAACAUGCCACUCUGGAUAAUAACAACACAACAACAGAAGACUAAGGCUUGUUGCAAAGACAGUGUUUUGGCGUGGAAAAAAACCGUACUUUGAAUGCCUGAAAAGUUAUAUAAAGCAACCAUUUUACCAGCAACCCAAAGAAGACUUUUCUUUAUAGCUAUUAUACACCGGAGCAAUUUCACUACUAAUUAUAAAAAUAGCUUUGUUGGCUUUUUUCAAAAAGUAGUCAUUAGCCAAAAAGAAAAAGUAGUUCUCUCCCAUACUCAGUAAUGGGAUGCAUGCCCAAAUCUAACCAUAUCCAUUCCUCUUUCAGAAUUUUCUACUCUCAAUCCCAUAGAACAUUCUUUUUGUUUCACAAAUAGAAUGAAUGAAGCAUUCUGGAAUACGGAGAAUGAAGCAUUCUAAUGUUAUGGAACUGUGUUUAGGCGACUCUUUCUGCCAAGGAGCGACCAAUUAAAAUAAACAGAACUCGAUGCUUUAGAAGCUGCACCGUGGAACAAAUGUUGAUCAUUUUCACUAGAACAAAGUGUGAGGUGACCUUCCUCCAUCUAGUUAAAGUUUCUUUUAAAUAAAGAUAAUAAAAAGGAAGCAAGCAGGCUGCAAAGCAAAAAUAACCGGACUUUAGCAUCCUUUUUAUUGGCAGCAAUGCCCCUGGAACAUAAAAAAAGUCUUGUAGUGAAAACUGUGGGGAGCCUAUAGGCAUUGUGGAAACACAAUGAAGAGGCCAGUGUUUUGCAAUAUGCCACUCUAUUUCUGUAAAUGUCUCCUUAACUGUUUGUGACUAUUCUUGUUCUGGUAGCUGUUCUGUGAACUAACACUUUUACUGUGGUACCCACUUUGUGAAUAUGGCUACAGUAAGUCCCCGAUGGCGGAUUUACACAUUUUUUUAACGUGGGCGUAACCCAAAUCAAGGGGAAGCGUUUGACAAAGAGAAGGAAUUUCAAGCUAUCAAGACUUGUUCCUGCAAGGCAGGUGUAAGUGGGGGCUUGUGCACCCUGGUCCUUCUCUCUGCAACCUGUUACGUAAAAACACUUCUCUUCAAAAUAUAGAAAAGUAAGUUAGUUCUGAAGUACCUAGUUGGACAUACAAAAUUCAUUCUUCUUGUUUCUUGGAAUAUCUCAUACAUCUAAAAAACCACUGAACAGGAAAGGAGCCCAAUAGUUUUGUUCCAUGCUCAAUGACAGUUGGCUUUUAUAACGUUCCACCCCCAGCAUUUUUCUAGAUCAGAAAAAGAUCAAUCCACUCUAGCAUCUCAUUCUCUACAAGGGAUGGGGAGAAGCUACCGGUAGCCUUCUAAUGAUUGCUGAAUUCCAAUUCCCAGCACAGAUUAAACCAGCACAACCAUUAUGGGAGGGGGGGGGAAUCAUGGGAAUUACAUCAACAGCUGGAAACCAUAGCUUUCUUAUUCCUACCCCUUGUAGGCUGAAGAAAGUGCUUUGCUGAUGCAAAGUGGAUUGAAUUAGCCAGUAUGACUGCAGGUAUUUGGGAAGAAAAUAACAACCCAGGUUUCCCAAGGAGUGAAUAGAUUCCUCCUUUUCCAGAUUAACAAAAAAAUUAGGAGUAACCAAAUGGGGAGAUAAUCUAGGGCAGUGUUGUUCAAACAUGCCAACAUUAUGAUGCUUGGACUUCAACUCUGAGAAUUGCUAAGGAAUUCUAGAAGUUGAAAUUCAUAUAUCUUAAAGUUGCCUAGUUUAAAAAAAAACACCCACGUUUCCUAAGGUGCGAAUGGAUUCCUCCUCUUCCAGAUAAACAAAAGAAUUAGAAGUAAUAAAUGGGAAUUAAAGGACUCAAAAACACUGUAAUGGGAGUGUUGUUCAAACUUGCCAACUUUAUGAUGCAUGGACUUCAACUCUCAGAAUUGCUAGGCAAUUCUAGAAGUUGAAAUGCAUGUAUCUUAAAGUUGCCAAGUUUAAAAAAACAAACAAGUCCUGGUCCACAGUGACUUCCUUGGGUCAGAAAGACUACCACUAAAUGUAUGCUGCAGGGUAUUCUUUGGCCAGAAUUAACAAGCAGGAAGAGACCAAAAAAAGAUGUUUCGUGGAACUAUAUAGGCAGGUAUAGGGUGAUUGUACAAAUGAUGUCACUCGUAUAAUUUACACCAGACAUCCUGGUGUACAACUCAUUUGCACAAUCAUCGUUUGUUAUGGACAUUACUGAUGGGGAUGGCGACUUCAGUGACACUCUCAGAUUUCUAACAGACACAUCGUGAUGACUAUGGUUUGUUGACCAAGCUAUUUGGUGGAAAAAAAAACCCUGCUGUGAUUUCUUAAGUCCAUUACGGUUCAGUGGAUGUGAGCCCAACACUAUCCUGAUUUGCUUUCAGUUCCAACCGAAGCCACGGAAGGCAGGAAUGAUUUCACUUGCCCCAUCGCCACUGCAUUCCGAGUUGUGUGGACAGCAGUACUGAUGCCAUUCUCUGUUCUAGAAAAAUCCUUAAUAACAUAAGCUGUUAUGGCAGGGGUCCCCAAACUUGGCAACUUUAAGACUUGUGGACUUUAACUCCCCAAAUGCUGGGAGUUGAAAUUCACAAGUCUUAAAGUUGCCACGUUUGAAGACCUCUGUGUUAAGGGCUGAUUUUCCUAAAGAGGAGCGUCUCUCACCUGACAUACAAUUCCUCCCAAAAUAUUUGGUUAAGACAUGUGUCUUUGCCGUACACCUUUUCCACAUUCACUCAAGGAAAGAAGGCUACACCAUGAAAAGAAUCAGGAAAUAGAUGAGAAAAGAAGCUCCCGUAGAUUUUUUUAGGAUUUAAUGACAAAGAAAGGAAUAAAAAGAACUGUGCAGUGGAGGUCACAGCAGCAAUAAGGAAAGAGGCAGCUUUUAGUCCAAAUCUUUGACCAGUUCGUUAUCACAUUGGUACUGUAUAGCUUGGUUGAAGCUUGGCCUCCACUGGUAAGGAUAUAUAUAUUUUUUCCAGCAAACACCCCACUUCUUAACCCACCGAGAGAUGGGAACUUAGUUACUUUGGGGAAAGGGAAAGUAAGUUUUCCAAAAGCAGCCACAUCAGAUAAUUUUACUUGCUCAUGUUAUCUAAGCCGCCAAGCUUCGUGGCUGUAGCUUGCCACCGUGACAGUCCUCUCUUGGUUUCUUCUGGGUGCAGACAGAUGGGAAGUGUGAGGUACCAACCAGAGUGAGGCGCUCUGCCCAAUACCAGCUUUCCGUACUUCCCUAACCAUGUUCACCGAGGGAGCCCGUGUAUUUAGCGACCUUCUCAAGGCCAUGUUUUCGAUGCGUGUACAUGUUCACCACCUGUUGUGUGUGUGGGGGGGGGGGGGGCUGAAUGACAAAGUCGUGGCAUGGUAGGCAAGCUGAGUUUCGGAGACAAGAGAUCGCAGCACUGAACAUCAUUCCAUCAUCCCUGCCCUAAGUUUACAUUUUAUUGAGUUUUCAACAACCUCUCUGCAAAACACACUCAUGUAGGCAAAUGCUUCCCACCAUCCAGCCACACUGGACGAAGGGACAGUACACACUGCUCACAGACAAUGUGAAAAAGGGAUCCCAGUUUCCACCGGGAGGGCAAAACUCAAAUAGGCCACGUUACCAUGCUGCU